rnacentral:lncRNA from 1 species
UGGCAACGAGAUUUCUUGUGGUGGUUUUUCAUGAGGUGGGUGAUGCGUAGGUGGUGUAUUUUCAUGAGGUGGUUUCUCAUGUGGAGGUUUGUACUCUGGAGGUGGAUUUUCUUGUGGUGGUUGGUACUCUGGAGGGGGAUGUUCAUGUGGUGGUUUUUCAUGAGGUGGUUUGUAUUCUGGUGGUGGAUGCACAUGUGGUGGUUGGUUCUCUGGAGGCGGAUGUUCAUAAUGAGGUGGUUUUUCAUGAGGUGGUUGAUACUCUGGUGGUGGAUUUUCAUGAGGUGGGUUCUCAUGCGGAGGUUGGUGCUCUGGUGGUGGAUGCACAUGAGGUGGUUGAUAUUCUGGUGGUGGAUGUUCAUGUGGUGGCUUUUCAUGAGGUGGUUGGUACUCUGAUGGUGGCUUCAUUUGUGGUGGUUUCUCAUGAGGUGGUUGGUACUCUUGUGGUGGUGGUUCAUAUGGUGAUUUUUCAUGAGGUGGUUUUAGAUAAGGAGGUUGGUACUCAGGUGGUGGAUGCACAUGUGGCGGUUUUUCGUGAGGUGGUUGGUACUCCGGCGGUGGAUGUUCAUGAGGUGGUUGAUACUCUGGUGGUGGAUGCACAUGUGGUGGUUUCUCAUGAGGUGGUUGAUACUCAGGUGGUGGAUGCUCAUGUGGUGGUUUCUCGUGAGGUGGUUGGUACUCUGGAGGUGGAUGUUCAUGCGGUGGUUUUUCAUGAGGUGGUUGAUACUCUGGUGGUGAACUUUCAUGUGGUGGUUUUUCGUGAGGUGGUUGGUAUUCUGGCGGCGGCUUCUCAUAAGGUGGUGUAUACUCAGGUGGUGGCUUUUCAUGAGGUGGCUGGUACUCAGGCGGUGGUUUUUCAUGAUGAGGUGGUUGAUACUCUGGUGGUGGUUUCUCAUAAGGUGGUUUGUAUUCUGGCGGUGGGUUCUCAUAUGGUGGUUUUCCAUGAUGAGGUGGCUCAUAUUCUGGUGAUGGAUUCUCACGAGGUGGUUGAUAUUCUCGUGGUGGCUCUUCAUGUGGUGGUUUCUCAUAUGGUGGCUCGUACACCGGAGGUGGCUUCUCAUGUGGAGGAUGGUAUAUUGGUGGUGUGUGGGCCGGAGGUUUAUAAUUUGGUGGUGGAUGAAUUAUUGGAG